GACGAACGCUGGCGGCGUGCUUAACACAUGCAAGUCGAACGAAGUGGCGCACGGGAGAGUAACGCGUAAUCAACCUGCCCUUCAGGGGGGGACAAAAGUUGGAAACGACUGCUAAUACCGCAUACUGAAGGAGGGGAUUGCGUCUGAUUGGCUAGUUGGAGGGGUAACGGCCAACCAAGGCGAUGAUCAGUAGCCGGUCUGGAGGGAGGAACGGCCACAUGGGGACGGAGACAGGGCCCAGACUCCUACGGGAGGCAGCAGUGGGGAAUCUUCGGAAAGGGACGAAAGUCUGACCGGGCAACGCCGCGUGGGUGAAGAAGGUUUUCGGAUCUUAAGACUCUGUGGUUAGAGAAGCGGUAUCUAACCAGAAAGCCACGGCUAACUACGUGCCAGCAGCCGCGGUAAUAC
rnacentral:rRNA from 1 species